rnacentral:rRNA from 1 species
AGUGAACGCUGGCGGUAGGCCUAACACAUGCAAGUCGAACGGCAGCACAGUAAGCGCUUGCUCUUACGGGUGGCGAGUGGCGGACGGGUGAGGAAUACAUCGGAAUCUACUUUUUCGUGGGGGAUAACGUGGGGAAACUUCCGCUAAUACCGCAUACGACCUACGGGUGAAAGCAGGGGAUCUUCGGACCUUGCGCGAUUGAAUGAGCCGAUGUCGGGUUAGCUAGUUGGCGGGGUAAAGGCCCACCAAGGCGACGAUCCGUAGCUGGUCUGAGAGGAUGAUCAGCCACACUGGAACUGAGACACGGUCCAGACUCCUACGGGAGGCAGCAGUGGGGAAUAUUGGACAAUGGGCGCAAGCCUGAUCCAGCCAUACCGCGUGGGUGAAGAAGGCCUUCGGGUUGUAAAGCCCUUUUGUUGGGAAAGAAAAGCAGCAGGUUAAUACCCCGCUGUUCUGACGGUACCCAAAGAAUAAGCACCGGCUAACUUCGUG